rnacentral:lncRNA from 1 species
CAUGCUCCUGUUGUUGGUGUUUGUGGUAUUCGUAAGAGAAAGGGUAUGUUGUCUAUAUGGUCAUUUCCUUAGGAUUUUUUUGGCUUGCAUCUGUUCAUUUGUGUCGGUUCUGUCGUUUUCUAGGGGAUGCCUGGUUCCCAGUGCUCACUCCUGCCAUGUCGGCUAGAAAUCGGAAGAGGCGUAAAUUACUUAGGGGCCUUCGUUGCCAUGGUGUUACAUGUACUGGUCUUCUUGGUCGGGGUUCCUGUCUUUCCGUCCUUAGUAUCUUUGUUUUGGUUGUUGUUUCUCAUAACAACAUGCAUGUAGAUCUUCGGUUUGAAGGGGACUUGCCAACUGAUUGGACUGGUUUUCCUGUCGAGGUAGUUGACAAUCGCAAAGGUACUAACUAUUAGGUUGAUGUUAGUUUGUUUUUUCCUUUUCCUGUCAUGACGGCCUCCUUGAGUAUUGUGUUUUCUGUAGUUUCCUAUAAGGACAUAUCUUACUAUGGUCCUCCUGAGUACCAGUGCCCUCACUGCAAGGCUUCUUUUUGGUUUGAGGAGAGGGCCAAUCCAUAUUCUUCAUGGGUGCUACGUAAAAUUGUUUAUAACCUUUGUUGCAAAGGUGGAAAAGUCAUUGUUAAACCUUUCAGAAACCCUCCUGCUUUAUUGAGUCGUUUAUUAUCCUGUCAUGGUGACCGUGUUUCCAAGCAAUUCCUGACAAAGAUACGGCAUCACAGUUGGACGUUUGCAUUUACGUCUAUUGUGGCGACGUCAUUCGUUCGCUGGAAGGCACGCGGGGGUUAAUAUCUUCAAAAUUUGUGGUCAGGUCCAUCAUCUUAUUGGUUCUCUUUUGCCGAUGAAAACGAUUGUGCCAUCCAGCCAUACCAUUGGUCGGCGUUACUACCAGGAGAACUUUCAGGAUGGUCUUACAAUUUGUCGAGUGGAUGAGGCCCCUGAUACUUUUACUAUUUUUACAUGUAGUCCAAUGUGGCUUGAGAUUACUAAGGUGAAGCUUAACGAAUAUCUAGAUGAAAUCCAGUCAGGCCAUGCCUAUGGUCCUAUAAACGCUGGUACCAUUUUAUUUACCCUUUCCAUGCAAUUACAGCUUGAAAUUUCUGACUGAUGUUUAAGGCUUUCUGUUUUUCUAUCUCAUUUGCUGUUGUUUUGCUUUGCUUUGCAGUUCUGUACACCGUGGAGUUUCAGAAGUUCCUGGUAUUCCUGUGGAAGUAUGUUUUUAGACCAGUGGAAGGUCAUUUAAUGAUUAAGUUUACAAAGCGCACUGAACUUGUGGAGAGAACUGGAAUGGAAGCAGAGUUCCCCUUCUGUACGUAUGCAUUGACUCUAACAGCUCAGCUCUCUAGGCCUACAGAUAUGCCUGAACGCUUUACAAGUGAUUUUGUGACUAAUCAUCUUUUCUCUUGUUUGUUUGGUGGUGAUUUUAUAAUAACUCUUCUUUGCUUGCUUAGAUGUCAUUGGAGUGAUUACUGGAAUCUCUGAAGCUGUUCAGUAUGUUAGUGCAAAAUCUCAGUGCGUUCUUUUUAAAGACAAAGCAGUUUGUUGACACAGACAAAGAGAGCUUGG